AUUUAAUGUUAUUUCUUUUUUUUGUUAAAUUUUCAGAUUUUUUUGGUCAGCGCGUCAUGGACGUUUUUAGCGCUUAAUUUUGACCGGCCAUUGGAGGCAACUGCCAAUUUUUGUCCAGGAGAAUCUCGGCUUGUUAGACAAAAGACAUCAAAAAUGGUUUUUACUGCCAACUCACACAAGGCCAGUUUCCAUCAGCCAAACAAGACAAUCACGGGAACAAAUUCAAACACAAAUUGGGCAGCUGUUUAUCCUGGCGGGUUUCCAGAAAUUCCGGAUUUGCCAAAACUGAACACCUCCAGGAAGAAGUCUGGAGAAGCCAAUAUUUUUUUGUUCGGGGCUAUAGUUGGCGCGACUUCUAAACACAAACAACACAUAUUACAACACAAACCUUCCUCUGUAAAAUUUUCACUCUACUUACUACUAUUUCGUUCGCACGUACACAUAAAUUAAAUUGUCCAAAAUGAACACAAAUCAACACACCACAAUUUGACAUUAAAUUCAAUAAAUAUUCCACUGUUAUUUUA